GACGAACGCUGGCGGCGUGCUUAACACAUGCAAGUCGAACGGAAAGGCCCUGCAUUUGUGGGGUGCUCGAGUGGCGAACGGGUGAGUAACACGUGAGUAACCUGCCCUUGACUUUGGGAUAACUUCAGGAAACUGGGGCUAAUACCGGAUAGGAGCUCCUGCUGCAUGGUGGGGGUUGGAAAGUUUCGGCGGUUGGGGAUGGACUCGCGGCUUAUCAGCUUGUUGGUGGGGUAGUGGCUUACCAAGGCUUUGACGGGUAGCCGGCCUGAGAGGGUGACCGGCCACAUUGGGACUGAGAUACGGCCCAGACUCCUACGGGAGGCAGCAGUGGGGAAUAUUGCACAAUGGGCGGAAGCCUGACGCAGCAACGCCGCGUGCGGGAUGACGGCCUUCGGGUUGUAAACCGCUUUCGCCUGUGACGAAGCGUGAGUGACGGUAAUGGGUAAAGAAGCACCGGCUAACUACGUG
rnacentral:rRNA from 1 species